rnacentral:rRNA from 1 species
GACGUAGGGCGCGAGCGUUGUCCGGAUUUAUUGGGCGUAAAGAGCGCGCAGGCGGCUUGGCAAGUCGGGUGUGAAAUCCCGGGGCUCAACCCCGUGACUGCAUCCGAUACUGUCAGGCUAGAGGUAGGUAGGGGAGAUCGGAAUUCCUGGUGUAGCGGUGAAAUGCGCAGAUAUCAGGAGGAACACCGGUGGCGAAGGCGGCAUCCUGGACCGGUAUUGACGCUGAGGCGCGAAAGCUAGGGGAGCAAACGGG